rnacentral:rRNA from 1 species
UACAGAGGUCUCAAGCGUUGUUCGGAUUCAUUGGGCGUAAAGGGUGCGUAGGUGGCGGGGCAAGUCAGGUGUGAAAUCCCGGAGCUUAACUCCGGAACUGCAUUUGAUACUGCCUUGCUGGAGUACUGGAGAGGAGACUGGAAUUUACGGUGUAGCAGUGAAAUGCGUAGAGAUCGUAAGGAAGACCAGUGGCGAAGGCGAGUCUCUGGACAGUUACUGACACUGAGGCACGAAGGCCAGGGGAGCAAACGGG